rnacentral:rRNA from 1 species
CGCGGCCUAUCAGCUUGUUGGUGGGGUGAUGGCCUACCAAGGCGACGACGGGUAGCCGGCCUGAGAGGGCGACCGGCCACACUGGGACUGAGACACGGCCCAGACUCCUACGGGAGGCAGCAGUGGGGAAUAUUGCGCAAUGGGCGAAAGCCUGACGCAGCGACGCCGCGUGAGGGAUGAAGGCCUUCGGGUUGUAAACCUCUUUCAGCAGGGACGAAGCGCAAGUGACGGUACCUGCAGAAGAAGCACCGGCCAACUACGUGCCAGCAGCCGCGGUAAUACGUAGGGUGCGAGCGUUGUCCGGAAUUAUUGGGCGUAAAGAGCUCGUAGGCGGUUUGUCGCGUCGACUGUGAAAACCCGAGGCUUAACCUCGGGCCUGCAGUCGAUACGGGCAGACUAGAGUUCGGUAGGGGAGACUGGAAUUCCUGGUGUAGCGGUGAAAUGCGCAGAUAUCAGGAGGAACACCGGUGGCGAAGGCGGGUCUCUGGGCCGAUACUGACGCUGAGGAGCGAAAGCGUGGGGAGCGAACAGGAUUAGAUACCCUGGUAGUCCACGCCGUAAACGUUGGGCGCUAGGUGUGGGGGUCUUUCCACGAUCUCCGUGCCGCAGCUAACGCAUUAAGCGCCCCGCCUGGGGAGUACGG